UGGUGAAUUGUAUGUAAGGAGAAUACUCUGUGAUGAAGAACUCAGGCUUGGCAACUCGGCGGUGAUGGCGGCGGCGGCUCAGCCCUGUUGGGUUGAGAAGUAAUACCAAUAGUUGCCUGAAUCUAUUGUGAGUGUGUGAGUGUGAGAAGUGUUCAUCCAAUUCGAGCUGUUAACAUGUUGCUGCUGCAUGAUCAGAGAGAAGGGUACAGAGAGAUUGUAUAGGAGGAAGAAGGAAAGGAAAAGGCAAAGCAACGUUGAGGAAUUUCAUCGUUUUCGCAAAUUAGGGAAUUUGUCGCAAGGUAUCUAAUGACAUUGAUCAGCAUGGGAUGGGAGUAGCACUCUUGAACUACGCAUUAUUAUUGCACACUAUUGAUAUUUAGUUUUAGACUAUGUUUCUGCUUAGCGUAAGUUUUGCGUAGAACUUGUAAAUGUCAUUUAAAGUUCUGGUCCUUAUUUUCAUGUGGAAUUUGUGGAGCUAGGAUGGGUUGGAUUAUGUGGUUUAUAUCGUUAUUAAGUUAUCUUAUAACUGCCUGUCGUGGAUGCUCGUAUUUUUAGGGGAGACUCUACCGAAAUUUCUAAUAAUUUUGGGAGUUAGUGGUUUUUGAGUGUAUUUUGGUGUGGCACUCUAGGUAGGUGGCUACCUGGAGUGUUACACCGUCGUCCUCGUCGCCGCUGUCGUCUCGCCACCGCUGCUCCCGUUGUCGUCGCUGUCAUUGCACUGCCACCGCUCCCGUCAUCGUCGCCGCGCAGCCGCUCGUGGUCACCGUCAUCCUUGUCGUCACCAUCGUUGCGCCGCCGCUGCUCCCGUCGUCAUCGCCGUCGUUGUGCAGCCGAUCGUGGUUGCCGUCGUCCUCGUCGUCACCAUUGUUUCCAUUUAUGAUGGAUAAAAGAUCAAAAAAGAAUUGAUGGAUGAAAAUUGUAUUACUUAGAGAUGUGGUUCAAAAACUAUUUAUUGGUUUUUACGAAUAUAUUAUAACAAACAUUUAAAUUGUUGGGAGAAUUGUGUCGUGCCAAAAUCUAUAUAAUCUAUAAUCUAUAGUGGCAGAGCCACCUCUAAGACAGGUUGCCACUAUCCAUAGAAGUCGACAUCUAUAAAAAAAACUAAUCGAUAAUCGAAAACACUAUUAGUUGUUCAGGCUUGACGACGCCACUAGCUCCACCACUAAUACUCCGUAAAUCGAAUCGACUAUAUUCUAUGAAAUGAUUUUUUUUAAAAAAAAAUAUCUCAUUUGGUCAAUGGCGUUUUAUCACUGUUCUUUUAUUUCUUUAAAGAAAUUGUUCGCAUUAAACAAACUUGUUUUUUUUUUUCUUCACACGGACUUACCCAUCACCCGUUCGUCCGCCGGAAAAUUCCCCUCGUCUCUUCCAUGUUCCAUCACCGCCAGGCGCUAGCUUUUCACCUGCAAGAUCUCGAGGUAGAGUGGUAGACCACAGCCCGCCGGAUUCUUGCGAGCAGCUUCCCAUCGCCCUGCCUUGAUCUGUGCUGGCCUGCGUCCCAUCCCCGUGCUGCCGCGCGCGAUCCCUCCUGGCCUGGGGCUGGAUUUGUGGAUACUUUGUACAGGUGUUGAGGGUUGCAGUUGCAGAUUUGAUUAUUUCCAGAUCGAGGACGGAUGGUUGCGGCCAAUGCCACCGUCAUGGAUAGGGUUCCUUCUGUGUGGGAUCGGCCAUUUUGCAUCAAGGCUAGAGGAUGUUGCACUUGUGCAGUUAAGCUGAAAUAGCUUCCUUGCAAAGCAUCCUUCUUCUAACCCAAAAGGAAAUGGAACACUGAUGUUCCCACACGAUCGGGAGCAGUUUGCCUUCUGCUGAGCUGGAAUAUAUCCUACUUUAUAUGAUAAGAUGUUUGUAAGUAAGUUUACUCGAAUAGAUAAAUUCCUAGUUCUUUCACUUAAUUAAAAUAUGGUUAUUGUUGAUAUGACAAAGUUAUGCAUAUAUAUCUGAGUACAGAUUUUCCAAGCAUGAGUGUUGCUAUACUUAAGAUUUGGAUUUCACUCCUGUGCAGUGAGUACUUCACCAAUCAUGUUGUACUACAUGAUUGGUGAAGUACAAAUCAUAUAUGUACAUCAUGUUGUACUACAUAUAUGUACAAAUUAGAAAAAAGAUAGUACAAGUUAUUUAUAUUUUUUAUGUAUAGCAUAUAUGUACUAAUUUUGCACAAGUUUUUUGUUAGUACAUGUUUUAACUUGCUCUAAAUAUAUAAAUGCUGUCAGCAGUGUUGUGUACUGGAGGACAUUUCGAAAUAGGUAUAGCUACAUCCAUGUUUAACUGAAACUUUUCGUUUAGUUUUAAAGAAUAGAAGUUUAUUCAUGCAUAUAGUUUUUUUUUCUCACACAGCUGCAUAUAUAUAGUUUCCAUAGCGGGGUGAAUUACCGUUAUCACGCUGGCAACCAUUGGGCAUAGUUGGUCCUAUUAUCCCUUGUGCUGGCGCAUGUUGGUUGAUCGACGAUACUCCACGACAGGCUAGCAUAGAUAGUUGUUAUGUUGAUUCUGUCCCAUAAAGAGCUUCUGUUUGUUUGUGCCUCGAGCCCACCUUUGCUGUGUUGGACAAAUUUGAACUGGAAUGCACUGAGAGUAGCCUCAAAUAACUCGAUGGUAUAUAUCAAAGUCACAGCCAGUAAUGUUUAGCAAGGCAUUAUCAAGAGUAAAAGAUCUCCCUGGGGCUUUCCAGGACAUGUUAUAAUCUUUGGUACCUGGACUUACUGGGAUUGCAUGGGAAAAAUCAACGGUGACAUACAUAAAUAGGAAGAGCCUAGGUGGUUGUGCGGUGUUGUCACAGGUGAGAUUGAAGUCUGGGUUCCUGAAGCAGCCAGAACCAAUGCCGAAUGGGUAGUCGAAGCUCAGGUUGCCGCAGCUCCGUGGGCAGCCUUCCAGAGUGGCCGCAGAAGGAAGAAUGGUGCUGUUGAUACCUUGAUUUCCUGGCACGCUGGAUGAUCUCACAGUUGGAUUCACUGCAGAAAACAAGACGAAUAGGAGCAGAGGAACCACUGAACUGAAGGGGCUCAUGUCGAUCAUCUUUAUAGUGCUUAGCAUUGUUGCCCUAGAGAAGUUUCAGAGCUUGAGCUGUGAAAAUAUGUGGGAGAACCGGAGAAGCAUUGCAAAUGAGUACAAUGGGUUUUCAUCCAUAUCUAGGUCAUGGUCUUGCUGCUUUAUAAGCAUCUGGAGUCUGGACAGGGCCACAGGGGCCACUGGGAAAUGUAAAAGUCAGUGAUUGUCAAUACUGCAAGAAAAUUGUCAAGGUUUACUGCAAGACUACUUACAGCGAUGAGGGUUGGUAUCAGGUAUGUCACUUCAAUCAGUUCCACUAUUAAUUUUACAUGUGAACCAAAACUUUGCUCUCUCUUUCCACCUGGCUUCCAUUCUUUCAAUCACCAUCGUUGACUGACUGGGCAAUAUAUGGCUCUAUAUUGGAAGCAUCUUCUCACCUUUAUUCAACAUUAAAGUAGCCAAUUGCAGCUAGUAAUUGAUUCCUGGAGUCCUGGUCAGUCAACAUUCUAGCUUUCUAAGCCAUUCAAAAUGUCCAAAGCAAACUCAUGAAUGUGGCGAGCACAUUUUCCACCAUGCCGUUGAUGCUGACAGCAUUGGGAACUGAGUGCCAACCAGCGUAAGUUUCUAACCCAUGGAGCGGGGAGUCGAACAGUUUGAUCGUGGGAGUCUGGAUCUGGCUUAGUGUUCAAGUACAUGAUUUUGACAGGAUAUAGUGACUGAAGUGUGAAACUGUCUUUCCUGGAGAUUACCCCUGCAUUGCUCAUCCAGUGGAGGAAACAGAGUUCACUGCUUGUUACUUGUGAAGGCAUGU